rnacentral:rRNA from 1 species
UGGAGCAUGUGGUUAAUUCGAAGCAACGCGAAGAACCUUACCAGGUCUUGACAUCCCGAUGCUAUUUCUAGAGAUAGAAAGUUACUUCGGUACAUCGGUGACAGGUGGUGCAUGGUUGUCGUCAGCUCGUGUCGUGAGAUGUUGGGUUAAGUCCCGCAACCGAGCGCAACCCCUAUUGUUAGUUGCCAUCAUUCAGUUGGGCACUCUAGCGAGACUGCCGGUAAUAAACCGGAGGAAGGUGGGGAUGACGUCAAAUCAUCAUGCCCCUUAUGACCUGGGCUACACACGUGCUACAAUGGUUGGUACAACGAGUUGCGAGUCGGUGACGGCGAGCUAAUCUCUUAAAGCCAAUCCCAGUUCGGAUUGUAGGCUGCAACUCGCCUACAUGAAGUCGGAAUCGCUAGUAAUCGCGGAUCAGCACGCCGCGGUGAAUACGUUCCCGGGUCUU